rnacentral:rRNA from 1 species
CUACGGGCGGCAGCAGUGAGGAAUUUUGCGCAAUGGGGGGAACCCUGACGCAGCAACGCCGCGUGAGUGAUGAAGGCUUUCGGGUCGUAAAGCUCUGUCAAGUGGGAAGAACCUAUGCAGUGUUAAUAUCACUGUAUACUGACGGUACCACUGAAGGAAGCACCGGCUAACUCCGUGCCAGCAGCCGCGGUAAUACGGGGGGUGCAAGCGUUAUUCGGAAUCAUUGGGCGUAAAGGGCACGUAGGCGGCUUGGUAAGUCAGAUGUGAAAGCCCGGGGCUUAACCCCGGAAGUGCAUUUGAUACUGUCAGGCUUGAGUAUGGGAGAGGGAAGCGGAAUUCCUGGUGUAGAGGUGAAAUUCGUAGAUAUCAGGAGGAACACCUGUGGCGAAGGCGACUUUCUGGACCAAUACUGACGCUGAGGCGCGAAGGCGUGGGUAGCAAACAGGAUUAGAUACCCGAGUAGUC